GGGGGCGAUUCUGGAUUCGACAGGAUUCACGAAACCCUGGGAGCAUGCCGAGGGGCGGUUGGCCUCGUAAAAAGCCGCACAGUUAUAGUUGCAAACGACGAUAACUACGCUCUAGCAGCUUAGGCUAGCUAGCCAUCUGACACAGGUCUCUCAAAUGGGCGGUGUAUACAGAUGGUCAUCUUACAUUUGAUAGCGAGGGAACUCCGUCCGGGGGUGAACCGCGAAAUAGUACCGGACUCGCCCGAUGAAAUCCUGUCUUUCGGAGUUUAUUCGGGUUAAUUAAAAGAGAGACUAAGCAUGUAGUGCCUUGGAUGUAGGUGUUCUGGACGCGGGUUCAAGUCCCGCCGCCUCCACCA
rfam:Shewanella putrefaciens CN-32, complete genome.